GCGGACGGGUGAGUAACACGUGGAUAACCUACCUAUAAGACUGGGAUAACUUCGGGAAACCGGAGCUAAUACCGGAUAAUAUUUUGAACCGCAUGGUUCAAAAGUGAAAGACGGUCUUGCUGUCACUUAUAGAUGGAUCCGCGCUGCAUUAGCUAGUUGGUAAGGUAACGGCUUACCAAGGCAACGAUGCAUAGCCGACCUGAGAGGGUGAUCGGCCACACUGGAACUGAGACACGGUCCAGACUCCUACGGGAGGCAGCAGUAGGGAAUCUUCCGCAAUGGGCGAAAGCCUGACGGAGCAACGCCGCGUGAGUGAUGAAGGUCUUCGGAUCGUAAAACUCUGUUAUUAGGGAAGAACAUAUGUGUAAGUAACUGUGCACAUCUUGACGGUACCUAAUCAGAAAGCCACGGCUAACUACGUGCCAGCAGCCGCGGUAAUACGUAGGUGGCAAGCGUUAUCCGGAAUUAUUGGGCGUAAAGCGCGCGUAGGCGGUUUUUUAAGUCUGAUGUGAAAGCCCACGGCUCAACCGUGGAGGGUCAUUGGAAACUGGAAAACUUGAGUGCAGAAGAGGAAAGUGGAAUUCCAUGUGUAGCGGUGAAAUGCGCAGAGAUAUGGAGGAACACCAGUGGCGAAGGCGACUUUCUGGUCUGUAACUGACGCUGAUGUGCGAAAGCGUGGGGAUCAAACAGGAUUAGAUACCCUGGUAGUCCACGCCGUAAACGAUGAGUGCUAAGUGUUAGGGGGUUUCCGCCCCUUAGUGCUGCAGCUAACGCAUUAAGCACUCCGCCUGGGGAGUACGACCGCAAGGUUGAAACUCAAAGGAAUUGACGGGGACCCGCACAAGCGGUGGAGCAUGUGGUUUAAUUCGAAGCAACGCGAAGAACCUUACCAAAUCUUGACAUCCUUUGACAACUCUAGAGAUAGAGCUUUCCCCUUCGGG
rnacentral:rRNA from 1 species